GGAGAAAUACCCAAGAGGCUGAAGGGGUGGGCUUGGAAAGCUCAUAGGUCUGUCAAAGGACGCGAGGGUUCAAAUCCCUCUUUCUCCGCCA
rnacentral:tRNA from 1 species